CAUGUGUCAUGUGAUAAUAUAUAAUCUUUAGAGGGAAGAAAUAUUAAUCUAACUUUAAUCCAUUUGUUAACAAAUAACAGUCAUAUAUAUACAUAUACAUAUAUUGAAGUAGACUCUCUGUCUCUAGAGACAGAGACACUCUGUCUCUAGAGACAGCGGCGGAUCUAGAAAAUCCGCCAAGCCGUAACGUUUUAUAAAUAAGCCGUAACGAAAUCGAAAAAACCUCAAAUUUUUCCAAAAUUUACACUAAUUUUUCCAAAUUUUUCCGCGCCAAGCCGUAGCGGGCGUUGCCCCCCGGCCUAAGGUAUAUCCGCCACUGUCUAGAGACAGAGGUAAGGUUUGCCUACAUACUACGCUUCUUUUCCUACCCUACAACAUGUAGUUUUGCUACGUGUGAGAUUUGACCGUUUAUUAAUUAUAAUGAUCAUCUCUUUGUUUUUGUUUUUGUUUUUGUUUUUGUUUUUGUUUUUGUUUUUUAGAAAACACUAGUUAUGACACAAAAGGGUUUCUCAAAAUUAGGUUUGGGAUGACAUAUGUGAUAUGAUCUGGAUCUGUGGACUAAGUCUUGGUAAUCUAAAGUAUGUAUAUGAUCAUCAACAAGUGUGAAUAUAUCAACAUAUAUAUAACAAAACAAGCUCCUGGAUCUAUAUCUUUGUCGGCUAACGUUGUACAUCGAGGUGCCGGAUGUAGAUCAAGGUUCAUAUACGUACAUAUAUAAAAAUUUAUAUUCUUAAACCCAAAUAUUUCAAAUUUCAAAUUUUUAAUUAAAAAACUGAACAUUAAUGGACAUGAGUACAUGGCUGAUAGAUGCAAAGGUAGUAUAUACACACACACACACCCUGUGUGACAUGCAUGCUAGUCUGUAUGUAUGUAUGUAUCUAUAUAUUUUUAUUAAAGUGUUAAAGGUAAACUAUCGUCACCGUGGUGUUCGUACAAGCGUGUGAUGUUUAUAUUAAAGACUGUUAUACCUUGAACCUUAUCUAAAAAUGGUGAGACAUGGUGGGUCUCUCCGGUGGCCACAUCAUAUAUCUAAUGAUUAAUGAAUAUGGAGGUGAUAUUUUUAUAUUUUCUUUUUCCGUUUUUACUGUUUUACUUCAACAAUAUUUUAGUCGCCGUUUUUUCCAAUUUUUUUUUGACGGGUUACUUUCAAUAUAUACAUAGCCCAUUGGUCACCGGGUCCCUGUCAAGUGUCAAGGACAGUUACCCGUCAGUCCAGCAUUCUCAGACACGAUGUUCUAUCGGGCCCUGGCUGGCGCUCUGACUGACCUUCGCCCGGAAACCAUACUUUCCCCACACGAGAGACUCGCUGGAAUAACAGUUGGGUAAAACCGGGUUGCCCUCCAGAUCGAACCAUACCUCGGUAGGAAACUAUCCACUUAACUUGUGACUUAUAUGAGGGUAAAGUAUAAAGAAAUAUGAUACACAUGAAAAAAUAUAAGUUUUAUUACUUUUUACAUAUGCUACUUAAUGAAAUUUACUUUUUUCUAAAUCUUAAAGUUAAUUAAACUAUAAUAAGGUGUUAUUCUUGUAGAGUUAAGUUUAUGUACAAACAGCCUUAUUGUAUAAAAUGUAUGAAAGACAUGAAAAAGCAAAAAAAAAAAAAAAAAAAAAAACACGGUGAUAUUUUCGUAAUUAUUUGUUCGUAGGGUAAUUAUCAAAAUUACUUUACAAAUAUUCUUAUAGGGUAAUUUUGAUCUUGUAAGGUAAUUCUGAAACUUGCAGACUAAUUGUGAUACACUUAUAGAGUAAUUAUAAUACUCUACAAAAUUACUUAACAAGAUCAAAAUUAUCUUACAAGAUCAAAAUUACCAUAAAAGAUCAUUUCUAGAGUAAUUAUAAUAUUCUACAAAAUUACUCUACAAGUUCAAAAUUACCCCACAAGAACAUUUUACAAAAUUAUCCUACAAGAUCAAAAUUACCCUACAAGAACAUUUUACAAAAUUACCCUUCAAGAUCAAAAUUAUCUUAUAAGAUCAAAAUUACCAUACAAGAUCAUUUGUAUAGUAAUUAUGAUACUCUAAGAUCAAAAUUACCCUACAAGAACAUUUUACAAAAUUACCUUUAGAAGAUCAAAAUUACCCUACAAGAUCAUUUGUUGGGUAAUUUUGAUAAUUACUAUACGAGUAAAUAAUUACAAAAAUGCCACCAUAUUUUUUUACCUUUUCACCAUAUUCGUACGUUUUGUAUGAUAAAGCUAUUUGUAUUUGAUCUUUUGUCUAUUCUUGUAAACUAAUUUGUAAAUGACUAAAACUAAAUGAUUAAAACAUUUAUUAAAGCUAUUUGUAUUUGAUUUUUUGUCUACUCUUGUAAACUAAUUUAUAAAUGACUAAAACUAAAUGAUUAAAACAUUUAUAAAAAGUUAUUUUCUUACAUUUAUUAAACUAAAGAAAAACAUUUAUUGAUUAGUAAUCAAGUUAGUAACAUAUAUCAAAGCCUUCCAAAAAAAAAAAAAAAAAGAAAUUAAUAAUCAAGUUUUAUAAGAGUUUCAUAUCUCACUCUGUUUGUCUAGUUAUUUAAAAAGUUAGAAUAUUAAACAAUAUUAAAACUUGAGAGAUAAUUAAAAUUUUCCUUUCCUAAAAGUUUGUGUGCAACUGUAUAUCACCUCUAAAUGAAAAUGAAUAUCUUUAUGUCCCACACUGGAAUAUGAAUUAUACAAUUAAAUAUCAUUUAAAAAUUGAUAAGAAUAUGAAUUAUAAUAUACAGUUAUAUAUCAUUGUAAAAUUCAUGUGUGCAUGAUAAUAUACAAUUAUAUCAAAUGCAUAUGGUACAAUAUGUAUACAAAUAUAUGUGUAUAUAACAUAUAUGUGUGUGUGUAGCCUUAAUGGUGUACAUAUCCAUUUUUUUUUGUUACAGUAUGUCACAUAGGAUCAUAAGAUUGUUCUUCCUUCUGAAGUCCUCAAAAUCAAUACCCUCUUGUAGUUGAUGCUAGUAUCCUUCCCACGUUAAUACGUUAUCUUCCUCCCUUGUUAAUAGAGAAUACGAAUAAAAACUACAUAAAAGAGAUCGAAGUGGAUGCAAUUGUGGUGGUGGUCUAGGUGAUUAGCGACAAUGGGGCAGAAAUGGUGAAGGUGGUGACAAUGAUCAUGGUUUGUAGCAGGGGGGAUGGGACAUCGAUCUUUGAAGGUGGUAGUAAUAGACGAGAUGAUGGUGGUUGACUGGUGGUAUAAGUGAUUAUUCGAAUGUCUCAAUGGGUGAAAGCAUGUUUUCUUUUUGAAUGUUUUGAAAAUACAUGUAAGACUUUCUAAGAAAAUUCUUGAAAACAACUAUACGUGGAAUGCUUUCCGAAUGGAAGUUAUAAAGUAGAUGCGAAAUUUUCCUUUUUUAUGCUCUUAGAUAAAAAAAAAAUAAAAAUAAACUAAUUGAACACAUGUUUCCCUGAUUUUCAUACACAUGCCUUAAAUUUUUCUGUCUUACUAAACAAAAUUUAGGCUUUUCAAUGCAAAAUGGCAAAGAAAACAUGCAAUAGGCCUUAAGAGUCUAAGAUAACAUAUUUGUCGGUUAAAUUUGCAUUGUGACUUAGAUAAUACAAUUUGUAUAUUUUAUAUAAAGAUUGUUAUAUAAUUAUAUCAAGAUUGUUCUAUAAUUGGAUUUGGGAAUAGGGAUAAACAAAGUGCCCCCAGAGAACUUCUAGGAGACAUGAGAAGGCAUAUAUAGUACUAACUUAGUAGGUGGGUAUCAUUUUCAUAAGAAGAUAGCAUAUGAACUUGAGAGGUCAAAUGUCUUUAGGAUAAUUUGUGAUUUUCUUCUUUCACUCCCAUUUUCUUAAAGAGGCAUAAUACACAUACUUGGAUGAAUACUAGGCAAGUGAAAUUUUUAGAUUAUUGCACAUGGUUUGUUAACUAUGAGGUUAUGAAGUUUGUCAAUCUUGCAUAAAUUAGCAUGUGCCAUCAUGAAUGGUUUUAGGGUUAAUAAGAUGAUAAACUUGUUAAUUCUAAAGCAUAAGUUAGAUGUAACACCCUAGUUGAAUCUCACAUCAAUCAUAGACAUGAGCAUAUUGAAUUUAUAAGAAAUGGUUUGCCUUAAAUACCAUUAUUCUGUUUUUAAUGAUAGAUGUACAUUGUUAAGUGUGCUUGGAUUAACCUCGUAAGAAGUCUCCACUCGUUGAACAAAAACAAUUCCACAAGUUCCUUAUAGGUAAAAACAAAUAAUAUUAUGUGAUAUGACUAUGAGGGUUGAAUGCUACCUCAUUAAGGAUGAGAAAAGAUCCCAAAGGGUGUUUGGAACAACUCAGACAAUCACACAUCCUUAGUCAUAAUGGUAUGACAACCUCAUCGAGGACAAAGGUAUGAGAUUAUAUUGUAUGCGUUUGUUUGUUUGUUUAGUUAAAGAUGUGUAACAAAAGUUUCUCGAGUGGAAGAAAUGAGUUGAAAAUGUUAAAAAGACACCAUUAGUAUUAAUCAAAUAGGUCACAUGUAUAUCCAACUACUCAACUCGACUACAUAGUAUCAUAACAUAUGUUCAUUGUUAAAAUGUUCGUUGUUCGGGGUCGGGCUUUGGAGCCGUUCGAACUGGAUUUGACCCUUCUCAGGUCUUACCCAAAACUGCAACAUAAAGGAAAACUCUUAGAUGGUCAAGUUAGUAUUUGGUAUAUGUACGAGUAUAUCUUAAAUGGUCAAGUUAGUAUUUGGUAUAUGUACGAGUAUAUAACAAGUAUAUAGAGUAUCUAGAGAGCAAGGGCGGACCCAAGCCCACUUCAAGGUGGGCGGGCGCACCCCCGGGGAAAAAAAAUUUAGUGUUAAAUUCCGUCAAAAAUCCCGUCCGCACCCCUUGGAAUUUUUCGUCUGCACCCCUUGGAUUUUUCGACCGCACCCUUGAACGCACCCCUUAGGUAAAAAGUGUUAUCAAUUUAUAUUUUAAGUUUUUUUUUUUUUUUUUGUAAACUCUUAUUUAAAAAAAAAAAAAAUACUACCUAAAUUAUAUAACUUUUAAUACCUAACUAACCCAAAUACCCAUACAUUUACACACUUAUAAUUCCUAACUAGCUAGCCCACUAAGUCUUAGCCCAUUAACCAAAGCCAACAAUAUUUCAAACUAUAAUAAAAUAAUUAAAGCCCAAAACCUUUAGAAAUUCUCUCCAACAGCCGGCGACCACCGUAAUCAGCCACCAUACCACCGCCGUUUAACACCAAAUCUAACCGGAAUCCGAACACGGGUAAGUUUCUUUGUUAUUUUGAUGAUUUUGGUUGAUAUUAUAGGAGAAAAAAAAAGGUAAUAAAGUUGUUAAAUAGGUUUGAAAUUUUGUGUGUUUUGACGUUGUUUAUGGUUUUUUAGAUGAUUUUUAGGGUGAUUAUGUUGUUUAUAUAUUUUUAGGGUGAUUACAACUAACGUUAUGAUUUCUAGGCUUGAAUAGUUGAAAAUUAAAAUUGAAACAUUAUGUUAUGGAGCGAUGAACUUAUGUUAUAUAGAGAAAGAAUUGUUUAAAAAUUUAGUUUUAAAUGAUGUUUUGAAUAGAUUUCAAAAAAUGAAAACCCGUAGGGCGUCGACGUUUUAAUUAUGUUUGUAGCAAAGUUUACAUGUUUUUGAUUAUUAUAUAAAUUUAGUUUGAUGUUCGUUUGUUUUACAUGACCCGACCUGACCCGAUACGAACAGAUUUUUUUACUCAUAUACCUAGGGGCCUAAAAUUUUUAAAAAUGUCCCGCACCCCCAUAGAAAAAUUCCUGGGUCCGCCACUGCUAGAGAGCAAUGUUGGUGGAGUGAGUAGGGGGAUGUGGGCCAUGCUGGUCCCAUUGACCCGGAUCUCAUCUGGGACUAAGCUUACAUGUUAAGCCCGAAGCAUACAUAUGACAUUGUUCUUCCUUUUCAUAUCGCCUCGUCCUCUUUUCUCAUCAUGUCGAUAUGAAUACAUUAACUAGUUAUGUUUGUUACUCUAUGCAACCAGACAGUGGCGGAUCCAGAAACUUUUUUCAGUGGGUUUAUUUUGAUAGAUUCUCACUAACUUUUUUUAAAUCAUACAAGAUUCUCACUAAUUUUUCUAUUUUUUUCCAAACCGAGUGGGUUCAUGUGAACCCACAAAACAGGACUUGAUCCGUCACUACAACCAGGUUAGUUUUCUCUUUUAUAUUUGUCAUAGGUACACACUUUUUGGCUUUAGAAACUUGAUUUAGCAUGUCAUGUAUUCAACUCUUGUAAUCUUACUCUUAAAUAGAUUUCACCCAGUCCAUGGCUUUAUAGCCUAGUGGCAUCUUGGGGUGGGAUAAGACUUUAGGACCAAUAGGUCCUGGGUUCGAUUCCCACAAGGGGGGUUUUCCCAUAUUUAUUGGGUUUCCUCCUGAAUUGGUGUGUAGGCAUUAUGCCUAGUGGAGAUGGAUAUGAUCGGGUGGUUCCACUGGUGGCACGAUGAUACUCCAGUAGUCCGUCAGUGAUCCAAAUUUGCCGUUCAAAAAAAAAAAAUAGAUUUCACCCAAAAUAUGAAUAGAAUAUCCAACAUAAGUCAUCGAAUCCACACAAAAGUAAUAGAGGAAAAGACGAUCUGGCAUUAAUUUUCUCAUGUUUAUUGUCGUCAUUAAUUUUUUGGUAAUCUAAAAAGAAUAGGAUGCAAAAAGAUGUACUUGACGUAUAUAUUUUAGAAAUGAAUUAUUCUUGUUUGUAUAUGCAUAAAAGGGUGAAUACGAUAGGUUUUCAUUUUAACACUUUUAAUUUUACACAUAUUAUAAAGGAAGGAUACUAUAUACCUGCAUAUUUAAUUUUACACAUAUUAUAAAGGAAGGAUACUAUAUACCUGCAUAUGCAUAAAAGGGUGAAUACGAUAGGUUUUCAUUUUAACACUUUUAAUUUUACACAUAUACCUGUAUAUGCAUAAAAGGAUGAUGUAGGACCCCUCACCAACCAGAUUUACAUACUACAAAUUUGAAAAAAAAAAAAAAAUGAUAUUACACUUUUCAUCCGAAACUAUUU